rnacentral:rRNA from 1 species
GUGGCGCACGGGUGCGUAACACGUAUGCAAUCUACCUUUAAUAGGAGAAUAGCUUCGAGAAAUCGGAAUUAAUACUCCAUAACAUAAUUGAAUGGCAUCAUUCGAUUAUCAAACCUCCGGGGAUUAAAGAUGAGCAUGCGCAACAUUAGCUAGUUGGUAAGGUAAUAGCUUACCAAGGCUACGAUGUUUAGGGGGUUUGAGAGGAUGAUCCCCCACACUGGUACUGAGACACGGACCAGACUCCUACGGGAGGCAGCAGUAGGGAAUAUUGGGCAAUGGAGGAAACUCUGACCCAGCCAUGCCGCGUGCAGGAUGACGGCCCUCUGGGUUGUAAACUGCUUUUAUACGGGAAGAAAAAAUAGUACGUGUAUAUACUGACGGUACCGUAAGAAUAAGGAUCGGCUAACUCCGUGCCAGCAGCCGCGGUAAUACGGAGGAUCCAAGCGUUGUCCGGAUUUAUUGGGUUUAAAGGGUGCGUAGGCGGAUUUUUAAGUCAGUGGUGAAAGCCUGCAGCUCAACUGUAGAAUUGCCAUUGAAACUGAAAAUCUUGAAUUUGGUUAAAAUAGGCGGAAUGUAUCAUGUAGCGGUGAAAUGCUUAGAUAUGAUACAGAACACCGAUAGCGAAGGCAGCUUGCUGAACCAAUAUUGACGCUGAGGCACGAAAGCGUGGGGAGCAAACAGGAUUAGAUACCCUGGUAGUCCACGCCCUAAACGUUGAUUACUCGUUGUUGGCGAUAUACUGUCAGCGACCAAGCUAAAGCGUUAAGUAAUCCACCUGGGAAGUACGACCGCAAGUUGAAA